rnacentral:rRNA from 1 species
AGCGAACGCUGGCGGCAGGCUUAACACAUGCAAGUCGAGCGGACCUUUCGGGGUCAGCGGCGGACGGGUGAGUAACGCGUGGGAACGUGCCUUCCGGUUCGGAAUAACCCUGGGAAACUAGGGCUAAUACCGGAUACGCCCUUAUGGGGAAAGGUUUACUGCCGGAAGAUCGGCCCGCGUCUGAUUAGCUAGUUGGUGGGGUAACGGCCUACCAAGGCGACGAUCAGUAGCUGGUCUGAGAGGAUGAUCAGCCACACUGGGACUGAGACACGGCCCAGGCUCCUACGGGAGGCAGCAGUGGGGAAUAUUGGACAAUGGGCGCAAGCCUGAUCCAGCCAUGCCGCGUGAGUGAUGAAGGCCUUAGGGUUGUAAAGCUCUUUUAUCCGGGACGAUAAUGACGGUACCGGAGGAAUAAGCCCCGGCUAACUUCGUG